rnacentral:rRNA from 1 species
GAACGCUGGCGGCAGGCCUAACACAUGCAAGUCGAGCGGUAGCACAGAGAGCUUGCUCUCGGGUGACGAGCGGCGGACGGGUGAGUAAUGUCUGGGAAACUGCCUGAUGGAGGGGGAUAACUACUGGAAACGGUAGCUAAUACCGCAUAACGUCGCAAGACCAAAGUGGGGGACCUUCGGGCCUCAUGCCAUCAGAUGUGCCCAGAUGGGAUUAGCUAGUAGGUGGGGUAACGGCUCACCUAGGCGACGAUCCCUAGCUGGUCUGAGAGGAUGACCAGCCACACUGGAACUGAGACACGGUCCAGACUCCUACGGGAGGCAGCAGUGGGGAAUAUUGCACAAUGGGCGCAAGCCUGAUGCAGCCAUGCCGCGUGUGUGAAGAAGGCCUUCGGGUUGUAAAGCACUUUCAGCGGGGAGGAAGGCGAUAAGGUUAAUAACCUUGUCGAUUGACGUUACCCGCAGAAGAAGCACCGGCUAACUCCGUGCCAGCAGCCGCGGUAAUACGGAGGGUGCAAGCGUUAAUCGGAAUUACUGGGCGUAAAGCGCACGCAGGCGGUCUGUCAAGUCGGAUGUGAAAUCCCCGGGCUCAACCUGGGAACUGCAUUCGAAACUGGCAGGCUAGAGUCUUGUAGAGGGGGGUAGAAUUCCAGGUGUAGCGGUGAAAUGCGUAGAGAUCUGGAGGAAUACCGGUGGCGAAGGCGGCCCCCUGGACAAAGACUGACGCUCAGGUGCGAAAGCGUGGGGAGCAAACAGGAUUAGAUACCCUGGUAGUCCACGCCGUAAACGAUGUCGAUUUGGAGGUUGUGCCCUUGAGGCGUGGCUUCCGGAGCUAACGCGUUAAAUCGACCGCCUGGGGAGUACGGCCGCAAGGUUAAAACUCAAAUGAAUUGACGGGGGCCCGCACAAGCGGUGGAGCAUGUGGUUUAAUUCGAUGCAACGCGAAGAACCUUACCUGGUCUUGACAUCCACAGAACUUAGCAGAGAUGCUUUGGUGCCUUCGGGAACUGUGAGACAGGUGCUGCAUGGCUGUCGUCAGCUCGUGUUGUGAAAUGUUGGGUUAAGUCCCGCAACGAGCGCAACCCUUAUCCUUUGUUGCCAGCGGUUAGGCCGGGAACUCAAAGGAGACUGCCAGUGAUAAACUGGAGGAAGGUGGGGAUGACGUCAAGUCAUCAUGGCCCUUACGACCAGGGCUACACACGUGCUACAAUGGCAUAUACAAAGAGAAGCGACCUCGCGAGAGCAAGCGGACCUCAUAAAGUAUGUCGUAGUCCGGAUUGGAGUCUGCAACUCGACUCCAUGAAGUCGGAAUCGCUAGUAAUCGUAGAUCAGAAUGCUACGGUGAAUACGUUCCC